rnacentral:rRNA from 1 species
GGAAUAUUGCACAAUGGGCGAAAGCCUGAUGCAGCAACGCCGCGUGAGCGAUGAAGGCCUUCGGGUCGUAAAGCUCUUUUCUGAGGGAAGAGAAAGGACUGUACCUCAGGAAUAAGUCUCGGCUAACUACGUGCCAGCAGCCGCGGUAAUACGUAGGAGGCGAGCGUUAUCCGGAUUUACUGGGCGUAAAGCGUGUGCAGGCGGUUUGGUAAGUUGGAUGUGAAAGCUCCCGGCUCAACUGGGAGAGGUCGUUCAAUACUGCCAGACUUGAGGACGGUAGAGGAGAGUGGAAUUCCCGGUGUAGUGGUGAAAUGCGUAGAUAUCGGGUGGAACACCAGUGGCGAAAGCGGCUCUCUGGGCCGUUCCUGACGCUAAGACACGAAAGCGUGGGUAGCGAAC